rnacentral:lncRNA from 1 species
UUUCUUAAAAAGAGCAAUGUUCUAUUGAUGUCUAAUUUUCUGUUGCAUGAAGUUCGUGUUUUCCUUGGAUUUUUCUUGACACAAUGCCAUGCUGCAAUGCCCUACCACUUCAUCAAAGAAGAAUUUCUCUUUAAGUCUGUUAAAGACUCAACAACAAACUAUCGGAGAGAGGGGGAAGAUCAGCAUAAUAUUCUAACAGAGGAGGCGUACACUAUGCAAUUAACUUUUACUGUUCACUCUUGACUGUCCACAGUUCGUUUAUGAUAUACUAAAAAAAAUCAAGAUUUAUGUUUUUUUAAAUAAAUGUAAGAUUGCCGAUAACUUACGGAAAUCAUGAACGGUCGGUCAAAAUGCGCGAACCCAUUAGCCACAACUUCGCACCUAUCUGUUUUGAUUUGUCCUAAAUACAAUAAUACCUGGAAAUAAGAAAUUACUCUGAUGAAAAAUUUACAAUUUACAAUUUACAUUCGUCGAGGCUUCAAAAACGGAUAUUUUAAAAAUUUUCUAGGAUUUUGAUGUAUCAAUGGACCUCUGACAAGGUUCAAAUUUAAGGACUAACAUGCAUGUUUCUCAUCAAAAUUUUACGUAGAAUACGAUCUGUGCAACACAACUUAUUAGAAGUAUAACUCAUAGUCAAGCAUAAUGUUUUCCGUUGCACACGAUUGAAAUUUUGAAUAGAAAAAUACAGCAGAACGCUCAAAUUUAUUUUGUGUGUAUUGAUGCAUUGAAAAAAUCAGAUAAUUUCUAUACCAAUUUCACGACAAAGUCAAGGAAAAGAAGCAGGGGUUUAUUUUAAGAUAACCAUAUUUUGCUACUCCUGCUCAAAGGGUAAAUUGCAGAGCACAGGAAGUUGAUAUGAAAUUUGAGUCCUUCUAUGUGGCCCUUGUCGGAACAUAUAAUUUUCCUUGGUAUAUAUUUAAAAUUUAAAUCACCGAAAAUAUUACCAACCUGACUGACACACUUUGAAGAUAAAUUGCUCAACUGUAAUUUUUUUACUUCACAGCUCACCCGUUGUUUCUGCACAGAAAUGCAAUCAGUUACAAUCGAAUAAAAUGCAACAUUAAAAAAACCGUAUCAUUCAGUCAAUUCUGACGUGCAUGAGUCUAGAGUUUAUCGUCAUCUUUUAAUAGGAACUUCGCGGUAAUUAUCUUGUAGAAAAAUGCAUUUUUGAGUCCUUUUGCAACCUUGAAAUGUAAUUACGUAUAUUCGCUUGUCCGAAAAAGACGAUCUAUGACCAGCGGGUCAAUUAUUAAAUAGUUAUCGAAUGAACUCGAUCGAUAUAUCCCUAUCUUGGCAUUUAUUUUUAUCGACCAAGGUCAUUCGAUAAUGGUUUAAUAAUCGACCUGCAGGAAAAGAAAAAACACCAAAAAUGUGGCCCGGAUAAUACUGUAGGUAACAAGAUGUGAAGUUGUGCUGGGUCCACACUAACCUGAAGGAAAAUCAAAACCAAAAAAUUAAAAAUAAUAGAUGGAGAACAUUAUUGCAGUUCAUUUUGUGACUCUAAUUCCAAUUUGUGGAUUUUUUGGCUUUAAUUUCUCCGGAGGAUAACCUGGACCCAGCUCUAUUUUACCAUCCUGCUCCUGAUGAUCAGAAAUCUAAUAUCUGGUAACAUUUUUUUCCUC